GCCAUCGUGGUGUAAUGGCUAGCGCACUCGGCGCAUAUUCGAGAGAUCCUAGGUUCGAGUCCCGGUGAGGGCA
rnacentral:tRNA from 1 species